rnacentral:lncRNA from 10 species
AGAGAGGUCAAAGUCAGCCACGGGACAAAUGGAGAGGACUGCAAAUGACAAACUUAUUUUGGAGAGAUAUGUGGUGUGCAUUAGUAGGCAUGGCUGAGAGUUCCCAGAGGCUGAGGCCAUCCCUUUAAGGACUGAAACCAUAAUGUCAGCUGUUGUUGAUGUUCAUGUCCUACACACUGUUAAAUAUUGCUAAGCUUUGGGAGGAAAUGUUGGCCCCAUCAUAUGUCACAGUCAACCCGGGGCAGUCUCUGUUUAUGCUGAUGGUCCCAAGCUCAUUAUUAACAGCACCCCUUUCAUUCUCAAAAGUCUACUUGUUUGGAAAGUGCCUGGUAUGAUCACACCAGAUAAGGAAAGUGGAUGUUGCUGCUUUCUUUUUACAUAUCAGAGAUACCUCAAGCUUUGAGGUGCUCCUCUCCCAACUUUAAGGCUCUCUUAAAAUAUCUUUUUAUAUCUUUAAUAUGCUCACAUUUUUCUCCACCUUCUUGAACAUAUGGAAUGUAGUUAUAACUGUUUUGAUGUCCUUGUCUACUAACUCCUGCAUCUAUGUUAUUUCUGGGUCUGUUUAUGUUGAUCAGUUUCCCUCCCGCUCAUUGUCCAUUAUGUUCCCUUGCUACUUUGCAUGUCUGGUAAUUUUUGAGUGGAUGGCCAGAUGUAAUUUUUAUCUUGUUGGAUGUCAGAUAUUUCUGUAUUCUUUUAAGUAUUCUUGGUCUGUUCUGGGACAUACUUAAGUUGCUUGGAAACAGUUAAUCUUUUUGAAGUUUGCUUUCAAGCAUGGUUAGAUGGAACCAGAACAGCCUUUGGUGCAGGGAUUUUUUUUUUUCCAAGUCAGAUGGGUGAUGUGCCGACAUCAUAACGAGGUUUGAGGGAGGCACAUCUCACACAUGAGCAAAAAACCCAAUCAUCACACUUAUGAACCACAAAAGAACCUGGUCUAGGGGUACUUUUUUCCUUUUGAGGGCACGACCAUGUAUUACAAGAUUUCUCCACUCUGCUAUGGGGACAUCAAAGUUCCUUGCCCCUAGCUCAGGGAUGAUUCCACCCACUCACUCCUGAUGG